GUGCGAACGGUUUCCUCUCCCCCAAAACGCCUGGCAACUGAACGCCUGCCUUUACAAGGCAAACGGUGAUACAGCUCACGGCGAAGGGCGCGGAAAGAAGCCGACACGCCGGACAAGCAGGCACACGCACUGGAAUAGUUAAGGCAUGCCCGCUCUCGAGAAGGCUGCUACGGAGACGGCGCCGUUUGGCAGCCAAUGCGUGUCGUGCCUUGUUUAUGACGAAAUUAGGGUGUGAUGGCUGUGAUGGAACGGUGAAGGAAAAUGGCAGCGUGGCGCGAAAGAGGUGAAACAACGUGAUGCAGCUGCAAAAAGUGGGGGAAGGCUUACGAGCUCGCCACAAACAGCCGUACCAGUUCCACACGCCAGGACACCCGCCGCCUUUGUGAUGGAGGCAGACUCAUACGAGAACACGUGGCAGGCAGAGGUGCUCGAAACAAAUUAGAGGGAUCUGCGUCCUCGUUUAGGGUUUAGGUACCCACUAGGUUUUCCUUUUGAAUGGCGCCUGGGACACUCCCAGGGCGGUUUGGUGCCGUGACGUGGCACCGGUCUUGAGUAAAGCCACACGUGCGGAAACGAGCAGCUCCAUCCGGUGCCGCAAGGACGAGUCAAACUCGUAGUUUCGGCCAGUCCACAUCCGGAACCGAUAAACGACUUGCGAGUAGACAAGACAAACAAAUAAGGGUUAGAUCUGGUAUACUGCGUCUCGUGACGCUGAGAGGGUAGUUCACCCAAAAAGCGGAGCUGUGCGGUUUUGCCACCCCCGGAAAACUGCUAAGCCGUUGUACAGCCACUUAACGUUGGUUGAAGAUUCAAUCAAGGAUGAGUACGACGAGAAAAUGCUUCCUGCUGUUCUCUGCAGCAGGGACCCGAUCUUAGAAGAUUGUAGAGCA
rnacentral:lncRNA from 1 species